rnacentral:tRNA from 1 species
GGUAAGAUGGCCGAAAGGGCGUUGAGUUGUAGCCUCAACAAUGAAGGUCAAGUCCUUUUCUUAUCA